AGGGGGGAACAGUGAUCAUCGGUGGCCAUCUGCAGAGUUGUCUCCCUUUGGACCAAGCUGUUCAAGGGUUUGAAAGCCUGAUUUGUCCCAGUUUCAUGUGUUGGUCCCAUGUUGUGGUAUUCACUGCAGUGGUGGCACCUGCAUCAUGUUGGGACUCCUACCGUAGAACAGAGAUGUGUUACAUAUGAUAAACACCUGUAGAACUCGCUACAGCAGUACUGGAUCAUCCUUCUGGCUCUGCUGUCAGUAGAUUUGUCUCACUAGUAGUAAGUCAAUUCCAUCAGUUCUCCUACGUCUGCGUACUAAACAUCAGUUAUACACUCUAGUGUCACUGUACUGCAGCUGCUAGUGGGGAUGUGCUGAUGUGAGACGUCUACUGCUAGUGGGGAUGUGCUGGUGUGAGACGUCUACUGCUAGUGGGGAUGUGCUGGUGUGAGACGUCUACUGCUAGUGGGAAUGUGCUGGUGGGAGACGUCUACUGCUAGCGGGAAUGUGCUGGUGUGAGACAUCUACUGCUAGUGGGGAUGUGCUGGUGUGAUACGUCUACUGCUAGUGGGGAUGUGCUGGUGUGAGACAUCUACAGCUAGUGGGGAUGUGCUGAUGUGAGACGUCUACUGCUAGUGGGGAUGUGCUGGUGUGAGACGUCUACUGCUAGUGGGGAUGAGCUGGUGUGAGACGUCUACUGCUAGUGGGGAUGUGCUGGUGUGAGAUGUCUACUGCUAGUGGGGAUGUGCUGGUGUGAGACGUCUACUGCUAGUGGGGAUGUGCUGGUGUGAGACGUCUACUGCUAGUGGGAAUGUGCUGGUGUGAGACAUCUACAGCUAGUGGGGAUGUGCUGGUGUGAGACGUCUACUGCUAGUGGGGAUGUGCUGGUGUGAUACGUCUACUGCUAGUGGGGAUGUGCUGGUGUGAGACGUCUACUGCUAGUGGGGAUGUGCUGGUGUGAGACGUCUACUGCUAGUGGGGAUGUGCUGGUGUGAGACGUCUACUGCUAGUGGGGAUGUGCUGGUGUGAGACAUCUACAGCUAGUGGGGAUGUGCUGGUGUGAUACGUCUACUGCUAGUGGGGAUGUGCUGGUGUGAGACAUCUACAGCUAGUGGGGAUGUGCUGGUGUGAGACGUCUACUGCUAGUGGGGAUGUGCUGGUGUGAGACGUCUACUGCUAGUGGGGAUGUGCUGGUGUGAGAGACGCCUACUGCUAGUGGGGAUGUGCUGGUGUGAGAUGUCUACUGCUAGUGGGGAUGUGCUGGUGUGAGACGCCUACUGCUAGUGGGGAUGUGCUGGUGUGAGACGUCUACUGCUAGUGGGGAUGUGCUGGUGUGGUGAGACAUCUACUGCUAGUGGGGAUGUGCUGGUGUGAGACGUCUACUGCUAGUGGGGAUGUGCUGGUGUGAGACAUCUACUGCUAGUGGGGAUGUGCUGGUGUGAGACGUCUACUGCUAGUGGGGAUGUGCUGGUGUGAGACGUCUACUGCUAGUGGGGAUGUGCUGGUGUGAGACGUCUACUGCUAGUGGGGAUGUGCUGGUGUGAGACGUCUACUGCUAGUGGGUAUGUGCUGGUGUGAGACGUCUACUGCUAGUGGGAAUGUGCUGGUGUGAGACGUCUACUGCUAGUGGGAAUGUGCUGGUGUGAGGCGUCUACUGCUAGUGGGAAUGUGCUGGUGGGAAGCGUGAUGGUGUUUAAGAUUAUACUGCUUCUGUCUGCCAUCAUCUAACACUGUUAAAACGAACAACAGCUAUAAUUUAUGCUCCACAUCCUACAUGUUUCAUUUAACUGCUUGUUGAUCAGGAGUUUGUUCCACAGGUAUUCCAUGUUGCAGUGCCAAGCUACUUUCACUGACAAAAUUGAUGAAUAAUAACUUUCUCUAUCACUGUUAUGCCAUAUUACACUGGUAACAAUGACAAAUAUUAUUUUAAUUGGUUUGUAUAUUUUGCAGAUGUUUCAACCUUUAAUUGUUAUUGAGGACUAAUUGAGUUAAAUCUUGGACAUAGUAUUUGUCAUGGCUACAUGCUGGAACACACUGGUGACCAGGAAGAUAGUAUCUUGUCAGUACCCACAACAGAGAAUAGUCUUAAAAGGAAGAUUACAAUAGGCAUUUUGUGUUGAUGGUCGACCGAGACAACGUGUACCUCGUUCUUACUUACGUAUUAUUAUUAUUAUUAUUACAUUGUUUUAUAAAGACUACCUCCAUGUAAAGGCUCCAGCCGACUACGCUUUACAUACUAAUAUGGAAUAAAACAUUUCAUGGUUA
rnacentral:lncRNA from 1 species